AGAGUUUGAUCAUGGCUCAGGAUGAACGCUAGCGGCAGGCUUAAUACAUGCAAGUCGAGGGGUAACAGGGGUAGCAAUACCUGCUGACGACCGGCAAACGGGUGCGGAACACGUACGCAACCUUCCCAUAACUGGUGAAUAGCCCUCCGAAAGGAGGAUUAAUACACCGUAACAUAAUGAAAUGGCAUCAUUUUAUUAUUAUAGGCUUCGGCCGGUUUUGGAUGGGCGUGCGCCUGAUUAGGUAGUUGGCGGGGUAACGGCCCACCAAGCCUGCGAUCAGUAACUGGUGUGAGAGCACGACCAGUCACACGGGCACUGAGACACGGGCCCGACUCCUACGGGAGGCAGCAGUAAGGAAUAUUGGUCAAUGGACGAAAGUCUGAACCAGCCAUGCCGCGUGAAGGAUGAAGGCCCUCUGGGUUGUAAACUUCUUUUAUCUGGGACGAAAAAAGGGCAUUCUUGCUCACUUGACGGUACCAGAGGAAUAAGCACCGGCUAACUCCGUGCCAGCAGCCGCGGUAAUACGGAGGGUGCAAGCGUUAUCCGGAUUUACUGGGUUUAAAGGGUGCGUAGGUGGGUUGGUAAGUCAGUGGUGAAAUCUUCGAGCUUAACUCGGAAACUGCCAUUGAUACUAUUAAUCUUGAAUUAUCUGGAGGUAAGCGGAAUAUGUCAUGUAGCGGUGAAAUGCUUAGAUAUGACAUAGAACACCCAUUGCGAAGGCAGCUUACUACGGAUAUAUUGACACUGAGGCACGAAAGCGUGGGGAUCAAACAGGAUUAGAUACCCUAGUAGUCC
rnacentral:rRNA from 1 species